rnacentral:tRNA from 1 species
GGCCUCAUAGUCAAUAAUGAUAUUAGACUGCAAUUCUAAAGGAGUAAAUAAUAUUUACUAAGGCUU